ensembl:snRNA U1 U1 spliceosomal RNA
AUACUUACCUGGCAGGGGAGAUGCCAUAAUCACGAAGGUGGUUUUCCCAGGGCGAGGCUUAUCCAUUGCACUCUGGAUGUGCUGACCCCUGCGAUUUCCCCAACUGCAGGAAACUAGACUGCAUAAUUCGGGGUAGUGGGGGACUGCAUUCUCGCUGUCCCCUG